GAGACAAUACUUGCAGGGAUCAUUUCUGUAGUUGGUUACUAGAGAAGUUUCUGUGACAGAGUAGACUACCAAAUUUUAAAA
ensembl:snoRNA U3 Small nucleolar RNA U3